rnacentral:rRNA from 1 species
UCGAGCGCCCCGCAAGGGGAGCGGCAGACGGGUGAGUAACACGUGGGAACGUACCCUUCAGUUCGGAACAACCCAGGGAAACUUGGGCUAAUACCGGAUACGUCCGUAAGGAGAAAGAUUUAUCGCUGAAGGAUCGGCCCGCGUCUAAUUAGCUUGUUGGUGAGGUAACGGCUCACCAAGGCUACGAUCAGUAGCUGGUCUGAGAGGAUGAUCAGCCACACUGGGACUGAGACACGGCCCAGACUCCUACGGGAGGCAGCAGUGGGGAAUAUUGGACAAUGGGCGCAAGCCUGAUCCAGCCAUGCCGCGUGAGUGAUGAAGGCCCUAGGGUUGUAAAGCUCUUUCGGCGGGGAAGAUAAUGACGGUACCCGCAGAAGAAGCCCCGGCCAACUUCGUGCCAGCAGCCGCGGUAAUACGAAGGGGGCUAGCGUUG